AAGACACGUAGAUUUGUCACUUACCAUACAAAAGAAACUCUUGUGGACUACGUGUAAACUAAUUUCCCACCCAUUCCAUUUCUCUCAUUAUUCCCCACACAACACAUGCAACUCCUCACAUUUCAAAUCUUCUCUAUUCACAACAACAAGAUCUCAAACAGGAAGAAAAAACCACUCUUCUGUGUUCUUUUCUUCUGUUCUCUCUCUCUCUCUCUCUCUGCAUGAAAGAAAACAACAACCUUUUUAUAAUGUCUCACCAAUCCUCUGUUGAAUCUGAUGACAAGAUUCCUUCACACCCAUUGGACUCAAAAAAACCCCACUCAUCUAAAGAUGUCAACUUGGAGACAAAACAAGAUGACCCUCCUUUUUUGAACACUCAAAAGGUCCAAAACCAUGAUGAUAAAGAUAAAGAUGCAACACAAUACCCAUCUCUUCUUUGCAACAAAGAGAAAAUGGCACUAUUGCAAGAGCUAGCUCCUGUUUCUUCUAUGGAUGAAGCAUUGGAUUUGGAAGAGGAUAGUGAAAGAGAGAGGCUGAAGAGACAUAGAGUUGAAGUAGCUGGAAGAGUUUGGAUUCCUGAAAUAUGGGGUCAAGAGGAUUUAUUGAAGGAUUGGAUAGAUUGCACUGCAUUUGAUGCUCCUUUAGUUCCAAGCAAGAUCACUAUGGCACGUGCUGCUUUGGUUGAAGAGGGUACUAAAACCAAUGCUGCUCCUCUAAGUAUACACAACAGUAUAUACUGGGCCUUUUCAAACGGCUAACCUGGGAUAUACUAGUGAUGUCUACUGGUACUAACGCUAACAACUAGCAAUAUUCAUCGAUUCAGAUACAUUGUAGAGAGAACUAAGGGACUUGGGGUUCGAAGUAGAUACAGAUUUAGCUCUAAAUAACAACUGCACAAAUGUUGAUGUUCAAAACACUCAAGUUUUCAGACGCGAAGAAGAGCAACUAAACAAAAAGAUCUGAUUCAACCCCACAAAUAUAUGAACAAAAUGAGAAAGAAUAGUAUUAUAGUAAGAAAAACAUUGGAAACAAGCUGCUCCAGUUCACCAGUAACCUAUAGUUCAAAGAAAAAACUUGAAGUAGAUAAACGGAGUUGCAAAUACAGUUAACAGUUGAGCUGUAAAUGAAAACAAAUUUAACAUUGGUUUGUUGAGCCUUUUGUUACUAUUGUCCUUGUGAUUGCAAGUACAAACUACAAAGAGACCGAAAAAUUCCAGGCUUAUAUAUAAGCGCAGAUAGCUAAUAGAAUCAUUGUGUUCAAGACAUGAAGUGUAUGAUUAUGCACCAGGAAAAUGAACUUGUAAUGGACAUAUAAAGAAUCUGAUACUUCUAUUUUUUGUGAACUCUUCAAGCAAAUUAGACUAAAAUGUACGAUGAUAAAACCUCGGUAUGCUCCCAGUGGCAUUCCAAUGAUGUCAUACUAAAAUGAUGGCAAUUGUUAAGCCUAUCAGCAUUUGGAAGGAAGCAAAGUUGUCAGUCCCGGAUAGUAUAGUGGAGCGACCAACCCUAAAAUUGGGAUAGCGGGAUGGCCGCUAUUUGAAUAUUUUUUAUUUAUUUAUUUAUUUUAUAUUGUAUGGGUGUGUGUGUGUAAAUAAUUUAUAAUGUAUAUUUAAAUAUUUUGAUACUAAUACUAAUUAUAGAAGUUACUAUUUUACUA